AUUGAACGCUGGCGGCAUGCUUUACACAUGCAAGUCGAACGGUAACGCGGGGGCAACCCUCGGCGACGAGUGGCGAACGGGUGAGUAAUACAUCGGAACAUGUCCUGGAGUGGGGGAGUAGCUCGGCGGAAAGACCGGAUUAAUACCGCAUACGCUCUGAGGAGGAAAGCGGGGGAGUCCGUAAGGACCUCGCGCUGCGGGAGUGGCCGAUGUCGGAUUAGCUAGUU
rnacentral:rRNA from 1 species